AGCAAUCUUAAAUAUAGCACUGGAACAAGUAAGAGGCAUCGAGUGGGAAUAAAAGGAUCCGUGUCUGGUUGGCUGCCAGUAACUGGUGGUGUUUCGCAGAGGAUGUGGGCAUCACCAACUAAGCCAGCAUUAGAAGGUGCAUUAGCGUUGAGAAGGUGGUGCUGCAGUCCCUGAAGUGUAGGGAGGGAAUUCCAUAACUUUGACCCAGCAACAAUGAAGGAAUGGCGAACAACAGGAAUUCUGCAGAUGCUGGAAAUUCAAGCAACAUACAUCAAAGUUGCUGGUGAACACAGCAGGCCAAGCAGCAUCUAUAGGAAGAGGCGCAGUCGACGUUUCAGGCCGAGACCCUUCGUCAGGACUAACUGAAGGAAGAAGAGAUACUGCACGCAACAGCCCCUUCCGGCCCAACGAGCUGCACCACGCUACAACCCAUCUAGUUAACACUAGCCUAAUCACAG